UUUUUGUUAUAAACACGUUUCACGUUGUUUCUCAAUCGUAAAAUAAAUUCAAGAACUUGCAAUGAUGUGGCAAAAGUGUAAAUAAGACGCGAUUUAUAACUCGUGUGGAAUGCUAUGGUUUAUAUUUUGUUGAUUUUUACGAGAAAAUCUAGGAUCGCAUCGAAAAUAUAUUAUUGUGUAUUAGGAUCUGUCAAGUUUGUGCUAGCUCCACGUCGAACGUUCACACUUCACGAAUCUUGUUCUAAUUCAAAUCACUAUGCAUUUCGUCUCAACAAUUUUCAAAGUUUAAUAUGAAUUCUUCAAAUCAAUCUACCAGAAUUUCUUCAUCAGAGAAUAGCGAUGACAAUAUUUUUGGUCCAAGAAAUGAUGGCAGGGUUUGCAAUGGGACUUUGAAAAAAGCAAGGCUACCAUGUUUUGGUUUGGAUAUUGGAGGAAGUUUGGUCAAACUGGUAUACUUUGAACCUCUUGAAUCAACCAUCAAAUCAUCACGUCAAGAGCAAGCAGGACUUGAAGCACUAAGAGAGUUCAUCAUAUCAAAUGUCGAAUACGGUGAAGAAGGCAUAAGAGAUGACAAACUAGAAAUGAAUGAAUUGGUCAUUGGAGGAAGGCAAGGGAACCUACAUUUCAUACGUUUCCCGACAUGCCAUAUAGCAUCUUUUCUUGACAUUGCAGCAAGGUUAAAUGCAUCAGUUUUGGAUAGAAAAGUUUGUGCUACUGGAGGGGGAGCUUUUAAAUUUGAAAAGGAUUUUAGAGAGGUUUUAGGAGUUCAAUUAGUGAAAUAUGAUGAACUAGACUGUUUAAUUCAUGGAAUCCACUACAUCAAUAGUAAUUUUAUGCAUGAAUGUUAUUAUUGGAGCAACCCUCAAUGUAUAGCCGGAGCACAGCAAGUUUCUUAUGACUUUGAAACGGAUCCAUACCCAUAUUUAGUGGUCAAUAUUGGCUCAGGAGUCAGUAUACUUGCAGUUGAAUCUGCAGAAAAAUAUGACAGGAUCAGUGGAACAAGUCUUGGUGGAGGAACAUUUCUGGGUCUGUGUAGUUUAUUAACAGGUUGUAGUACAUUUGAAGAAGCCAUUGAAUUAGCUGCAAAAGGUGAUGGAAACAAAGUUGAUAAAUUAGUUAAAGAUAUCUAUGGAGGAGAUUACGGCAAGUUCAAUCUCCCAGGAGACACUGUGGCAAGUAGUUUUGGGAAGAUGUGCUAUGCUGACAAGAGAGAGCAGGCCAAGCCUGAAGAUAUCGCUAGAGCAACUCUCGUUACAAUAACAAACAAUAUUGGUUCAAUUGCACGUAUGUGUGCAGUGAAUGCUACUUUUUCCUUCAGAAAAUCGAAAGAGUUGUGUUUGUUGGUAACUUUCUACGUAAGAAUGAAAUAUCCAUGAAACUGCUGGCAUCUGCUAUGGACUACUGGUCUCAGAACACCAUGAAGGCAUUAUUCCUGAGGCACGAGGGCUAUUUUGGAGCAGUGGGAGCACUAUUGGAACUCAUGACAAGUGCAAAAACAUUCCAGAAGUAAUCUUGGUUUUAUAUCAUCCGUAAAAGGUUUCUUACCUGGAUAUACAACAUGUGAAUCAAAAUAAUGAUGAAUUUUAAUACAGUAAUCUCUGUGUAACCAAUCAGAAUGCAUGCAAUAUUUAUGACACUUAUUUUAUAAUGAUUGGGUCAUAUCCCUAGAAAAAGACAACAGGGGCUGAAACUUAACUAGCAGCAGAAUUGGAGUCAGAAUCAGAAUCAGGAUCAAAGUUGGAAGCAGUUUGUGCAAAGAAAUUGUGAGUGAAAUCCGCUUGUCACAUGUGUAAGCACAGGGCAAUUGAGAAGAAAUUUUUUGAUUCUAUUUUCUGAUUCUAUUUCAUUUCUUAUAUUUAGAAUUACACUCUAUCUUUCAAAAUGGAGAUUAAAGUGCUACUCUGAUGAAAAUCACUCAAACUUGGAUUCAGCUGAAACUUCCU
rnacentral:misc_RNA from 1 species